rnacentral:rRNA from 1 species
GACAGAGGGUGCAAACGUUGUUCGGAAUUACUGGGCGUAAAGCGCGUGUAGGCGGCUCGGAAAGUCGGAUGUGAAAGCCCAGGGCUCAACCCUGGAAGUGCACUCGAAACUCCCGAGCUGGAGUCCCGGAGAGGAAGGCGGAAUUCUCGGUGUAGAGGUGAAAUUCGUAGAUAUCGAGAGGAACACCUGUGGCGAAGGCGGCCUUCUGGACGGUGACUGACGCUGAGACGCGAAAGCGUGGGGAGCGAACAGG